GGACCUGACUGCUAUCGGAUUGAUACUAAGCCAUGCGAGUCAUUGUAGCAAUACAAGGCAGACGGCUCAGUAACGCGUAGUCAACCUACCCUAUGGACGGGAAUAACCUCGGGAAACUGAGUAUAAUGCCCGAUAGAACAUUAUACCUGGAAUGGUUUAUGUUCCAAAUGAUUUAUCGCCGUAGGAUGGGACUGCGGCCUAUCAGUUUGUUGGUGAGGUAAUGGCCCACCAAGACUAUUACAGGUACGGGCUCUGAGAGGAGUGGCCCGGAGAUGGGUACUGAGACACGGACCCUGGCCCUAUGGGGCGCAGCAGGCGAGAAAACUUUGCAAUGUGCGAAAGCACGACAAGGUUAAUCCGAGUGGUUUCUGCUAAAGGAACCUUUUGUCAGUCCUAGAAACACUGAUGAAUAAGGGGUGGGCAAGUUCUGGUGU
rnacentral:rRNA from 1 species